AGUGAACGCUGGCGGUAGGCCUAACACAUGCAAGUCGAACGGCAGCACAGUAAGAGCUUGCUCUUACGGGUGGCGAGUGGCGGACGGGUGAGGAAUACAUCGGAAUCUACUUUUUCGUGGGGGAUAACGUAGGGAAACUUACGCUAAUACCGCAUACGACCUACGGGUGAAAGCAGGGGAUCUUCGGACCUUGCGCGAUUGAAUGAGCCGAUGUCGGAUUAGCUAGUUGGCGGGGUAAAGGCCCACCAAGGCGACGAUCCGUAGCUGGUCUGAGAGGAUGAUCAGCCACACUGGAACUGAGACACGGCCCAGACUCCUACGGGAGGCAGCAGUGGGGAAUAUUGGACAAUGGGCGCAAGCCUGAUCCAGCCAUACCGCGUGGGUAAGAAGGCCUUCGGGUUGUAAAGCCCUUUUGUUGGGAAAGAAAAGCAGCAGGUUAAUACCCCGCUGUUCUGACGGUACCCAAAGAAUAAGCACCGGCUAACUUCGUG
rnacentral:rRNA from 1 species